UGUCCUACGGGAGGCAGCAGUCGGGAAUAUUGCGCAAUGGAGGAAACUCUGACGCAGUGACGCCGCGUGCAGGAAGAAGGUUUUCGGAUUGUAAACUGCUUUAGACAGGGAAGAAAGAAAUGACGGUACCUGUAGAAUAAGCUCCGGCUAACUACGUGCCAGCAGCCGCGGUAAUACGUAGGGAGCAAGCGUUGUCCGGAAUUACUGGGUGUAAAGGGAGCGUAGGCGGGAAGCCAAGUCAGCUGUGAAAACUACGGGCUUAACCUGUAGACUGCAGUUGAAACUGGCUUUCUUGAGGGAAGUAG
rnacentral:rRNA from 1 species